rnacentral:rRNA from 1 species
CAAGUCGUACGAGGGUUUUUAACUCUAGUGGCGGACGGGUGAGUAACACGUGAGAAUUUGCCUUUAGGAGGGGGAUAACAAUCGGAAACGAAUGCUAAUACCCCAUAUGCUUUCGAGUGAAACGGAUUUAUCCGUCUAAAGAGAAGCUCGCGGCUGAUUAGCUUGUUGGUAAGGUAAGAGCUUACCAAGGCGACGAUCAGUAUCUGGUUUGAGAGGACGAUCAGACACACUGGAACUGAGACACGGUCCAGACUCCUACGGGAGGCAGCAGUGGGGAAUUUUCCGCAAUGGGCGAAAGCCUGACGGAGCAAUACCGCGUGAGGGAAGACUGCCUAUGGGUUGUAAACCUCUUUUUUCAGGGAGGAAUAAAAUGACGUGUACCUGAAGAAUAAGCAUCGGCUAACUCCGUGCCAGCAGCCGCGGUAAGACGGAGGAUGCAAGUGUUAUCCGGAAUCACUGGGCGUAAAACGUCUGUAGGUGGCUUAAUAAGUCAACUGUUAAAUCUUGAGGCUCAACCUCAAAAUCGCAGUCGAAACUAUUAGACUAGAGUAUAGUAGAGGUAAAGGGAAUUUCCAGUGGAGCGGUGAAAUGCGUAGAUAUUGGAAAGAACACCGAUGGCGAAAGCACUUUACUGGGCUAUUACUAACACUCAGAGACGAAAGCUAGGGUAGCAAAUGGGAUUAGAUACCCCAGUAGUCCUAGCCGUAAACUAUGGAUACUAGAUGUUGAACAGAUCGACCUGUGCAGUAUCAAAGCUAACGCGUUAAGUAUCCCGCCUGGGAAGUAUGCUCGCAAGAGUGAAACUCAAAGGAAUUGACGG